CGGAACGUACCAUUCAGUGGGGGAUAACGUAGCGAAAGUUACGCUAAUACCGCAUAUUCUGUGAGCAGGAAAGCAGGGGAUCGCAAGACCUUGCGCUGAUUGAGCGGCCGAUAUCAGAUUAGCUUGUUGGUGAGGUAAAAGCUCACCAAGGCGACGAUCUGUAGCGGGUCUGAGAGGAUGAUCCGCCACACUGGAACUGAGAUACGGUCCAGACUCCUACGGGAGGCAGCAGUGGGGAAUUUUGGACAAUGGGGGCAACCCUGAUCCAGCCAUGCCGCGUGAGUGAAGAAGGCCUUCGGGUUGUAAAGCUCUUUCAGCCGGGAAGAAAACGCAUGGGUUAAUACCCUGUGUGGAUGACGGUACCGGAAUAAGAAGCACCGGCUAACUACGUGCCAGCAGCCGCGGUAAUACGUAGGGUGCGAGCGUUAAUCGGAAUUACUGGGCGUAAAGCGUGCGCAGGCGGUUUUGUAAGACAGGCGUGAAAUCCCCGGGCUUAACCUGGGAACUGCGUUUGUGACUGCAAGGCUAGAGUACGGCAGAGGGGGGUGGAAUUCCACGUGUAGCAGUGAAAUGCGUAGAGAUGUGGAGGAACACCAAUGGCGAAGGCAGCCCCCUGGGUCGAUACUGACGCUCAUGCACGAAAGCGUGGGUAGCAAACAGGAUUAGAUACCCUGGUAGUCCACGCCCUAAACGAUGUCAACUAGGUGUUGGGAGGGUAAAACCUUUUAGUACCGGAGCUAACGCGUGAAGUUGACCGCCUGGGGAGUACGGCCGCAAGGUUAAAACUCAAAGGAAUUGACGGGGACCCGCACAAGCGGUGGAUGAUGUGGAUUAAUUCGAUGCAACGCGAAAAACCUUACCUACCCUUGACAUGCCAAGAACUUUCCAGAGAUGGAUUGGUGCCCGAAAGGGAACUUGGACACAGGUGCUGCAUGGCUGUCGUCAGCUCGUGUCGUGAGAUGUUGGGUUAAGUCCCGCAACGAGCGCAACCCUUGUCGUUAAUUGCCAUCAUUUAGUUGGGCACUUUAACGAGACUGCCGGUGACAAACCGGAGGAAGGUGGGGAUGACGUCAAGUCCUCAUGGCCCUUAUGGGUAGGGCUUCACACGUCGUACAAUGGUCGGUACAAAGGGUCGCCAAGACGCGAGGUGGAGCCAAUCCCAGAAAGCCGAUCGUAGUCCGGAUCGCAGUCUGCAACUCGACUGCGUGAAGUCGGAAUCGCUAGUAAUCGUGGAUCAGAAUGUCACGGUGAAUACGUUCCCGGGUCUUGUACACACC
rnacentral:rRNA from 1 species